rnacentral:lncRNA from 1 species
UUUUUUUUAGGGCAAUAAAAUCCGUUGGUAUUCAAUUGAGAUUUCUUGUCAUUUAUAGAAUGUCAAUUGGUAUUCAAAAGCCUACCGAUUUUGAUGGAUUUCAUGAGACUUUUUAGUUGAAAGUAUAAAUACUAUACUCCUCAAACAAUCCCACUCCAAACCCUGAGAUUGUUCAUGCUCUCCCACCGACUUUUUUUUUCUCCACUGUCGUCGGAACUCAUCAGUUCAAAAUAUGUUCUUCUCUUACAACUUGCUAUAUUGUCCAUACAUGUAAUUAUAAACAUCUAAUAUAAUUUUACAGAGUUUCU